UCGACCUGAGCUCAGGCAAAAUACCCGCUGAAUUAAGCAUAUCAAUAAGCGGAGGAAAAAAAACUAACCAGGAUUCCNUUAGUAACGGCGANUGAACCGGGAANAGCCAACUUGAAAAUNUUCCAGCCCCCGG
rnacentral:rRNA from 1 species